CCCGGCGCAGUCGGGGGAGGGCCCUCGGAUUGUCGGCCCCCAGGUCCCCAAACACAGCCAGGCGCGGGCUCCAGUGAGGCCCCUUCUUCAAGGCCCGGAAGCGGAAGCGACGGCUCCAGCCCUGAGCGCUGCCACAGCGAGGCCUCCAGGCCAAGUGCCUUGUCCAAGUACUUAUCCAGCAAAUGCCAAAGCCGUUUUAUUCAUGUGGUUUCAGAUUCUCAAUGCGGCUAACCUUUAAGAAACUACCUUAGGACUUCCUGGUGAUCCAGUAGUUAAGAAUCCGCCAGCCAAUGCAAGGGAUGCGGGUUCAAUCCCCGGUCCAGGAAGAUUCCACAUGCCAUCGGGAAACCACAGCUUCUGAGCCCACACCUGCCCUAGAGCCCAUGUUCUGAAACAAGAGAGUAGCCUCCUCGCCGUGACUGGAGAAAAGCCUGAGCAGCAGCGGAGACCCGGCACAGCCAAAUAAAGAAAUAAAUGAAUAAAUAACUAAGUAAAUGAAACUACCCUAAAAGUGUCAAGAUCCAAAAAAAAGAAGAAAAGUCUGAGACACUGUCACAGAUAGAAGAGGACAUUAAAGAGACCUUAAAAGA